rnacentral:rRNA from 1 species
AUUGAACGCUGGCGGCAUGCCCUACACAUGCAAGUCGAACGGCAGCACGGGUGCUUGCACCUGGUGGCGAGUGGCGAACGGGUGAGUAAUACAUCGGAACGUACCUUAUCGUGGGGGAUAACGCAGCGAAAGUUGCGCUAAUACCGCAUACGCCCUGAGGGGGAAAGCGGGGGACCGUAAGGCCUCGCGCGAUUAGAGCGGCCGAUGUCUGAUUAGCUUGUUGGUGAGGUAAAAGCUCACCAAGGCGAUGAUCAGUAGCUGGUCUGAGAGGACGAUCAGCCACACUGGGACUGAGACACGGCCCAGACUCCUACGGGAGGCAGCAGUGGGGAAUUUUGGACAAUGGGGGCAACCCUGAUCCAGCAAUGCCGCGUGAGUGAAGAAGGCCUUCGGGUUGUAAAGCUCUUUUGUCAGGGUAGAAACAGCAGCUCUAACACAGUCUGCGAAUGACGGUACCUGAAGAAUAAGCACCGGCUAACUACGUGCCAGCAGCCGCAGUAA